GUGCCAGCAGCCGCGGUAAUACGGAGGGUGCAAGCGUUAUCCGGAUUCACUGGGUUUAAAGGGUGCGUAGGUGGGUUGGUAAGUCAGUGGUGAAAUCUCCGGGCUUAACUCGGAAACUGCCGUUGAUACUAUCAAUCUUGAAUAUCGCGUAGGUAAGCGGAAUAUGUCAUGUAGCGGUGAAAUGCUUAGAUAUGACAUAGAACACCAAUUGCGAAGGCAGCUUACUUCACGAUCAUUGACACUGAGGCACGAAAGCGUGGGGAGCAAACAGGAUUAGAUACCCCGGUAGUCC
rnacentral:rRNA from 1 species